rnacentral:rRNA from 1 species
UACGAAGGGGGCUAGCGUUGCUCGGAAUCACUGGGCGUAAAGGGCGCGUAGGCGGAUCUUUAAGUCGGGGGUGAAAGCCCAGGGCUCAACCCUGGAAUUGCCUUCGAUACUGAAGAUCUCGAGACCGGAAGAGGUAAGUGGAACUGCGAGUGUAGAGGUGAAAUUCGUAGAUAUUCGCAAGAACACCAGUGGCGAAGGCGGCUUACUGGUCCGGUUCUGACGCUGAGACGCGAAAGCGUGGGGAGCGAACAGG